GGUUAAGCGACUAAGCGUACACGGUGGAUGCCCUGGCAGUCAGAGGCGAUGAAGGACGUGCUAAUCUGCGAUAAGCGUCGGUAAGGUGAUAUGAACCGUUAUAACCGGCGAUUUCCGAAUGGGGAAACCCAGUGUGUUUCGUCACACUAUCAUUAACUGAAUCCAUAGGUUAAUGAGGCGAACCGGGGGAACUGAAACAUCUAAGUACCCCGAGGAAAAGAAAUCAACCGAGAUUCCCCCAGUAGCGGCGAGCGAACGGGGAGGAGCCCAGAGCCUGAAUCAGUGUGUGUGUUAGUGGAAGCGUCUGGAAAGGCGCGCGAUACAGGGUGACAGCCCCGUACACAAAAACGCACAUGCUGUGAGCUCGAUGAGUAGGGCGGGACACGUGGUAUCCUGUCUGAAUAUGGGGGGACCAUCCUCCAAGGCUAAAUACUCCUGACUGACCGAUAGUGAACCAGUACCGUGAGGGAAAGGCGAAAAGAACCCCGGCGAGGGGAGUGAAAAAGAACCUGAAACCGUGUACGUACAAGCAGUGGGAGCACAGAGCAAUCUGUGUGACUGCGUACCUUUUGUAUAAUGGGUCAGCGACUUAUAUUCUGUAGCAAGGUUAACCGAAUAGGGGAGCCGAAGGGAAACCGAGUCUUAACUGGGCGUUAAGUUGCAGGGUAUAGACCCGAAACCCGGUGAUCUAGCCAUGGGCAGGUUGAAGGUUGGGUAACACUAACUGGAGGACCGAACCGACUAAUGUUGAAAAAUUAGCGGAUGACUUGUGGCUGGGGGUGAAAGGCCAAUCAAACCGGGAGAUAGCUGGUUCUCCCCGAAAGCUAUUUAGGUAGCGCCUCGUGAAUUCAUCUCCGGGGGUAGAGCACUGUUUCGGCAAGGGGGUCAUCCCGACUUACCAACCCGAUGCAAACUGCGAAUACCGGAGAAUGUUAUCACGGGAGACACACGGCGGGUGCUAACGUCCGUCGUGAAGAGGGAAACAACCCAGACCGCCAGCUAAGGUCCCAAAGUCAUGGUUAAGUGGGAAACGAUGUGGGAAGGCCCAGACAGCCAGGAUGUUGGCUUAGAAGCAGCCAUCAUUUAAAGAAAGCGUAAUAGCUCACUGGUCGAGUCGGCCUGCGCGGAAGAUGUAACGGGGCUAAACCAUGCACCGAAGCUGCGGCAGCGACACUAUGUGUUGUUGGGUAGGGGAGCGUUCUGUAAGCCUGUGAAGGUGUACUGUGAGGUAUGCUGGAGGUAUCAGAAGUGCGAAUGCUGACAUAAGUAACGAUAAAGCGGGUGAAAAGCCCGCUCGCCGGAAGACCAAGGGUUCCUGUCCAACGUUAAUCGGGGCAGGGUGAGUCGACCCCUAAGGCGAGGCCGAAAGGCGUAGUCGAUGGGAAACAGGUUAAUAUUCCUGUACUUGGUGUUACUGCGAAGGGGGGACGGAGAAGGCUAUGUUGGCCGGGCGACGGUUGUCCCGGUUUAAGCGUGUAGGCUGGUUUUCCAGGCAAAUCCGGAAAAUCAAGGCUGAGGCGUGAUGACGAGGCACUACGGUGCUGAAGCAACAAAUGCCCUGCUUCCAGGAAAAGCCUCUAAGCAUCAGGUAACAUCAAAUCGUACCCCAAACCGACACAGGUGGUCAGGUAGAGAAUACCAAGGCGCUUGAGAGAACUCGGGUGAAGGAACUAGGCAAAAUGGUGCCGUAACUUCGGGAGAAGGCACGCUGAUAUGUAGGUGAAGUCCCUUGCGGAUGGAGCUGAAAUCAGUCGAAGAUACCAGCUGGCUGCAACUGUUUAUUAAAAACACAGCACUGUGCAAACACGAAAGUGGACGUAUACGGUGUGACGCCUGCCCGGUGCCGGAAGGUUAAUUGAUGGGGUCAGCGCAAGCGAAGCUCUUGAUCGAAGCCCCGGUAAACGGCGGCCGUAACUAUAACGGUCCUAAGGUAGCGAAAUUCCUUGUCGGGUAAGUUCCGACCUGCACGAAUGGCGUAAUGAUGGCCAGGCUGUCUCCACCCGAGACUCAGUGAAAUUGAACUCGCUGUGAAGAUGCAGUGUACCCGCGGCAAGACGGAAAGACCCCGUGAACCUUUACUAUAGCUUGACACUGAACAUUGAGCCUUGAUGUGUAGGAUAGGUGGGAGGCUUUGAAGUGUGGACGCCAGUCUGCAUGGAGCCGACCUUGAAAUACCACCCUUUAAUGUUUGAUGUUCUAACGUGGACCCGUGAUCCGGGUUGCGGACAGUGUCUGGUGGGUAGUUUGACUGGGGCGGUCUCCUCCUAAAGAGUAACGGAGGAGCACGAAGGUUGGCUAAUCCUGGUCGGACAUCAGGAGGUUAGUGCAAUGGCAUAAGCCAGCUUGACUGCGAGCGUGACGGCGCGAGCAGGUGCGAAAGCAGGUCAUAGUGAUCCGGUGGUUCUGAAUGGAAGGGCCAUCGCUCAACGGAUAAAAGGUACUCCGGGGAUAACAGGCUGAUACCGCCCAAGAGUUCAUAUCGACGGCGGUGUUUGGCACCUCGAUGUCGGCUCAUCACAUCCUGGGGCUGAAGUAGGUCCCAAGGGUAUGGCUGUUCGCCAUUUAAAGUGGUACGCGAGCUGGGUUUAGAACGUCGUGAGACAGUUCGGUCCCUAUCUGCCGUGGGCGCUGGAGAACUGAGGGGGGCUGCUCCUAGUACGAGAGGACCGGAGUGGACGCAUCACUGGUGUUCGGGUUGUCAUGCCAAUGGCACUGCCCGGUAGCUAAAUGCGGAAGAGAUAAGUGCUGAAAGCAUCUAAGCACGAAACUUGCCCCGAGAUGAGUUCUCCCUGACUCCUUGAGAGUCCUGAAGGAACGUUGAAGACGACGACGUUGAUAGGCCGGGUGUGUAAGCGCAGCGAUGCGUUGAGCUAACCGGUACUAAUGAACCGUGAGGCUUAACCUU
rnacentral:rRNA from 1 species